rnacentral:tRNA from 1 species
GAUGAGGUGUCUGAGAGGCUGAAAGAGUAUGCUUGGAAAGCAUGUACACGAAAACGUGUCGAGGGUUCGAAUCCCUCCCUCAUCG